rnacentral:rRNA from 1 species
CCUAAUACAUGCAAGUCGAACGAGAACCCUUAAAUNCGUCUGGGGGGGAGAGUGGCGAACUGGUGAGUAACACGUGGGUGACCUGCCCCGAAGACGGGGAUAGGCGGGGGAAACGACGGCUAAUACCCGAUAUACUCGGUGAUUCGGUUCAUCGAGUAAAGGCUCCGGUGCUUCGGGAUGGGCCUGCGGNCUAUCAGCUAGUUGGUGGGGUAAUGGCCCACCAAGGCGAAGACGGGUAGGGGGCGUGAGAGCGCGGNCCCCCACACUGGCACUGAGAUACGGGCCAGACUUCGACGGAAGGCAGCAGUCGGGGAUAUUGCACAAUCGGCGAAAGCCGGAUGCAGCGACUCCGCGUGGGCGAUGAAGGCCUUCGGGUUGUAAAGCCCUUUUAUGGGGGAAGAGACAAGGACGGUACCCCAAGAAUAAGCGUCGGCUAACUACGUGCCAGCAGCCGCGGUAAAACGUAAGACGCAAGCGUUAUCCGGAUUUACUGGGCGUAAAGAGCGUUGAGGCGGUUCCGUAAGUUGGGCGUGAAAGCCCCGGGCUUAACCCGGGGAGGUCGUUCAAUACUGCGGGACUUGAGGGCAGCAGAGGGAGGCGGAAUUCCCGGUGUAGCGGUGAAAUGCGUAAAUAUCGGGAGGAACAACAGUGGCGAAGGCGGGCUCCUGGGCUGUUUCUGACGCUGAAGGCGAAAGCUAGGGGAGCGAA